rnacentral:rRNA from 1 species
UACGAAGGGGGCUAGCGUUGCUCGGAAUUACUGGGCGUAAAGCGCACGUAGGCGGCUUUGUAAGUUAGAGGUGAAAGCCCGGGGCUCAACCCCGGAAUUGCCUUUAAGACUGCAUCGCUAGAAUUGUGGAGAGGUAAGUGGAAUUCCGAGUGUAGAGGUGAAGUUCGUAGAUAUUCGGAAGAACACCCGUGGCGAAGGCGGCCCUCUGGCUCGACCCUGACGCUGAGAGGCGAAAGCGUGGGGAGCGAACGGG